CAAUAGCGUAUAUUAAAGUUGUUGCAGUUAAAAAGCUCGUAGUUGAACUUAUGGCAGUGUCUAAGCGUGGCUUCGGUCAGCUUAGGCAUUGUCAUCCGCUUGCAAACUUAGUUCGCACUUCACUGGGCGGCUAAGGGAGUAGGCAUUUUACUUUGAAAAAAUUAGAGUGUUUCAGGCAGGCAAUAGCCCGAAUACAUUAGCAUGGAAUAAUGGAAUAGGACUUUUGUCCAUUUGGUUGGUUAUUGGACAUUAGUAAUGAUUAAUAGGGACAGUUGGGGGCAUUAGUAUUUAAUUGUCAGAGGUGAAAUUCUUGGAUUUAUUAAAGACUAACUUAUGCGAAAGCAUCUGCCAAGGAUGCAUUUUCUAA
rnacentral:rRNA from 1 species